rnacentral:misc_RNA from 1 species
UCACCCCUCAAGCCCGGCUUGUUGUUGGACCACGCCCCGCCUCGCGGCGGGACGGGCCCCAAAGAUAAUGACGGCGUCUGUGAGGACUCCAGUACACUGAGCUUUCGGGCACGUACUCGGCUAGAAAUUCAGACCCGUCCAACCCUUUUCGCCUCCGCAAGGAGUCGAAAUACCACCAA